rnacentral:tRNA from 1 species
UCUCUGGUGGUUCAGCAGGUAAAGAAUCUGCCUGUAAUGCAGGAGACCCGGGUUCGAUCCCUGGGUGGGGAA